UUCUUAUUAGCUCAAUGGCAGAGCAUGAUAUUUCUAAUAUCUUGAUUUAAGUUCGAAUCUUAAAUAGGAAU
rnacentral:tRNA from 1 species